rnacentral:rRNA from 1 species
AUGAACGCUGGCGGCGUGCCUAAUACAUGCAAGUCGAGCGAACAGACGAGGAGCUUGCUCCUCUGACGUUAGCGGCGGACGGGUGAGUAACACGUGGAUAACCUACCUAUAAGACUGGGAUAACUUCGGGAAACCGGAGCUAAUACCGGAUAAUAUAUUGAACCGCAUGGUUCAAUAGUGAAAGACGGUUUUGCUGUCACUUAUAGAUGGAUCCGCGCCGCAUUAGCUAGUUGGUAAGGUAACGGCUUACCAAGGCAACGAUGCGUAGCCGACCUGAGAGGGUAAUCGGCCACACUGGAACUGAGACACGGUCCAGACUCCUACGGGAGGCAGCAGUAGGGAAUCUUCCGCAAUGGGCGAAAGCUUGACGGAGCAACGCCGCGUGAGUGAUGAAGGUCUUCGGAUCGUAAAACUCUGUUAUUAGGGAAGAACAAAUGUGUAAGUAACUAUGCACGUCUUGACGGUACCUAAUCAGAAAGCCACGGCUAACUACGUG